rnacentral:rRNA from 1 species
GCUCAACCGAGGAAGUGCUUUGAAAACUGGUAAACUUGAGUGCAGAAGAGGAAAGUGGAACUCCAUGUGUAGCGGUGGAAUGCGUAGAUAUAUGGAAGAACACCAGUGGCGAAGGCGGCUUUCUGGUCUGUAACUGACGCUGAGAUUCGAAAGCAUGGGUAGCAAACAGGAUUAGAUACCCUGGUAGUCCAUGCCGUAAACGAUGAGUGCUAAGUGUUGGAGGGUUUCCGCCCUUCAGUGCCGGAGCUAACGCAUUAAGCACUCCGCCUGGGGAGUACGACCGCAAGGUUGAAACUCAAAGGAAUUGACGGGGGCCCGCACAAGCGGUGGAGCAUGUGGUUUAAUUCGAAGCUACGCGAAGAACCUUACCAGGUCUUGACAUCUUGCGCCAACCCUAGAGAUAGGGCGUUUCCUUCGGGAACGCAAUGACAGGUGGUGCAUGGUCGUCGUCAGCUCGUGUCGUGAGAUGUUGGGUUAAGUCCCGCAACGAGCGCAACCCUUGUUACUAGUUGCCAGCAUUAAGUUGGGCACUCUAGUGAGACUGCCGGUGACAAACCGGAGGAAGGUGGGGACGACGUCAGAUCAUCAUGCCCCUUAUGACCUGGGCUACACACGUGCUACAAUGGACGGUACAACG